CGACUGGACGUUCGUCUAGAGCAGGUUAUUUAACCGAUGUUCAUUACACUCGAAUGUGAUGAUUUUCUACUAACUGUAAAAAAUGUCUUACCUUUGCCAAAACAGUGUUGGUAAACAGUAACGUGCCUACCCAGAACAAGAAACUAUUGACGUUGAUAAAGUCGACGAUCUUCUGGACAACUGCCUUGAGAUGCUGUUUAAGAUUUUUAUGUUCUGAAGAAUGUUGCAGAAACCAUUGAAAACAGCAGGAACCUAGCAGAAGCUUCUGCAGCUCAGCAUUCUGGAAUUAAAGUCGUAUUACUCAGUGGGUUAGACUGAAUAAAAAUCCGCUUAAAAUCACCCUUCAUUCUUCCAUGUUUGAAAAUUUGUUUUGUAUAAUAUUAAAAGACAGGAAAGUAGGCGAUUCUCAAUAUUUUUGUCCUACUUUACACGGAGAUGCCUUAUAGAGCUCAGUUCCGUCUGUGCUAGUCAAUCGUUGCCAAAAAUGGGUAUCAUCAGCCGAAUUGUCGAUUAUUUUAGUCCCCAGCCAGAACCGGAGCUCACCUAUUACGAAUUAAUUCUGGGAAUGGUAAAACAGCCCAGGGAAUAUCUAUCAGCAGCAUAUCCGUAUGGCUCCAUGGCAAUGCUGUGCGCUUGCACAGGUCCAACGUAUAUUGUACGCUAAGGAUGUAAUAAAAAUGCCAAGACGACUCUUCGCUGGGAAUGGUGGUCCCCAACUGGUGCAGUACGAGGAGGAGCACGGGGAGGAGGAGCACGGUGAGGAGGAGCACGGGGAGGAGGAGCACGGGGAGGAGAACGGCCAGGAGGACGAAGAGGAGUUCGAGGAUUAGCAGGAGGAGUUCGAAGAGUCUGACGAGGAGUUCGUGGAUUAAGGAGGAGGCAGGCACCUCUGAAGAUGAAGCAGAUGAUAUUCAUGAACUGGAGGAUGCGUUCAACGAAUUCGCUCCAAUCCUUUAAAUAGUUAUACUUUUAAGUUGCAUUUUGUUUGAGUUUAACAGACGUCCAAUUUUGGCAUUU